UUGUCUCAGAAUGAGCAGCCUCCUGCUGCUGCCAGUCCUGAACUCAUCCUCAGUCCAUGAAGCAAUAGGGGGGGGAAGAUGGCAUGGAGCUUGCUGCUUCUCUGUUCAAGGGCCAGGUUUUAAACAGGCAGCAACUAUCCAGAAGUGGGAAUGGGACUGGCCACAUGUUGGACAGAGGGCAUUCGAAGUGACAGCAACAAAAGAGAAACCUUUCAUUUCAUCCUUCCUAUGAGGCGGUGAGAGAACUGAAUAGUAAACAGUAUAAGCUGGUUGUAGUCAAGAUUUGACCAACUGUAUCAGCCAAGCAAGAACUCAAAACAAGAAUGAACUUUGUCAAUUUUUCUGAGAUAGCAGCUUCCUUAUUUAAGAACAUUUUUGCUUCUAAACACAAACAGCAAAAGUGUGUCAAUUCAGAUAGCUUCCUACAGUGGAUCUCUCUCAACAUUUAAGAGUUAUAUAAAUACCCAAUUCAUGUAAGGAGCUACAGCAUUAUAUAGGCUUCAAUCUUAAA